GACGAACGUUGGCGGCGUGCUUAAUACAUGCAAGUCAACUGAAGCAGUGGUAGCAAUAUCGCUGUGGAGGUGGCGCACGGGUGAUUAACACGUAGGUAAUCUGCCUUCAGGUCUGGCAUAACUCCGGGAAACCGGGGCCAAUAGCAGAUGAUGCAGCGGCUCGACAUCGAGACAGUUGUUAAAGCUAUGGCGCCUGAAGAUGAGCCUGCGUCUGAUUAGCUAGUUGGCGGGGUAACGGCCCACCAAGGCAACGAUCAGUAGCUGGUCUGAGAGGAUGAUCAGCCACACUGGAACUGAGACACGGUCCAGACUACUACGGGAGGCAGCAGUAAGGAAUAUUGCUCAAUGGGAGAAAUCCUGAAGCAGCAACGCCGCGUGAGGGACGAAGGGCUUUUGCUUGUAAACCUCUGUAGGGAGAGAAAAAAAUCCCAAUCUUUGGGACAUGAUGGUAUCUCAAAAGUAAGCCCCGGCUAACUACGUG
rnacentral:rRNA from 1 species